rnacentral:rRNA from 1 species
UACGGAGGGAGCUAGCGUUGUUCGGAAUUACUGGGCGUAAAGCGCGCGUAGGCGGCUUUGUAAGUUAGAGGUGAAAGCCCGGGGCUCAACCCCGGAACUGCCUUUAAGACUGCAUCGCUUGAAUCCGGGAGAGGUGAGUGGAAUUCCGAGUGUAGAGGUGAAAUUCGUAGAUAUUCGGAAGAACACCAGUGGCGAAGGCGGCUCACUGGACCACAACUGACGCUGAGGCGCGAAAGCCAGGGGAGCGAACGGG